AGUUACAGACUGGUUAGAGGAUCACACUUCUAGCAGUGCCAACGUAGGCCGAUUCAGCAUCUUGGAAGGAAAACCACUGACCAGCGAGGAACCAAAGGAGGCUCGAGACAGCUUAGAACUUAGGUGAACUAUUACAGUUAGCCAGCAGGGUGGAAGCUUCAGAUGGGUGCCAGCUUAUUUCUGAGUGAAGAGAAACCUAUGGAAUGGAAGAAUUCAACGGGGGACAGAAUCUGGACUACAGAAAGAACUCACUCAAAUACCAGGAAACAAAAGAGCCCACUUAAAACAUGGACUGUGGCUCUAAACUCCUCACAAAUCUCCCAAUUUUCUUGCCAUUUUGUAACGUUUGCGCAAGAGACAAAACUUCCCCACUCACAACCCUUUUGACAUUUAUUUUAUCUUGUUUUUCCUUUCCUCACUUAAAAUUGUUAUUUUUUUUGGCUGUUAAAUGCUAUAAAUUCAAUUUGUUUCUAAUUGAUGAGAUUCUGCUGUUGGUGUCGUUUCUUAAUAGCUUUGUCCAUUUAUCGAAAUAUUUCCCAUCACUUAUUUAGAAGUAAAUGGUCUUUCCUAAAGUGUUUUGGAGAAAGAGUAGGUCAGGAAAGUUCCUGGACUUUCACUUUUGGGACUGUGUCAACCCUUUGGUCUUUCUUGCAGGCUUUUUUUGUGGUAGGUUUAUUACUUUUCUUCUAGUUCUUCACCAGAUGGUGGAAUAUUCCACAGAACCUCAGUGGUGUUUAAGCUUUCCAACAAACUACUACCUCCCAACUAAAAAGAAUUUCAAAAGUCUCAGUGUGAACAUGUCUUAUGGCAUUUGGCAUUACCAAUUUCUUUUGAUUAUGCGAAUGUAUUAUAUUUAAUGUCUUUUCUGGGUUUUCCAGAAGACAGUUAACAGUCAAUACAUGCUACUUUUUGACCUUAAGAGACCUGGUUCUUCCUUUACACAAAGGUUUUGCUUACUGACUCCUAAGCUCCUAAGUAAUUCCCAAAGACCGGCUGGUAGGGCACAGUAACUUCCUAGUGGUUCAGAAUGCUUUUCCAUUCCUACUGUCACUAAGGAGACCAACAAGUGUAGUUGUCCAUAUGUCCUUUGGCAGUUUGUGGUUCCUCGUCUGUAAUCAAAUUAUAACCCUACAUUGUUUGGACAUGUAUGAACAUGCAUGUCUUUCUGAUUAGCCACCUUUAAAAAUAUUUUGUCUUUGACUUUUUCAAAAAAGAAUAAAGUUUGUCACUUAAACAU